rnacentral:rRNA from 1 species
GGGUGCGAGCAUACCAGCGUUAAUGCACAGGAUCCCAUCAGAACUCCGUGGUUAAGCGCGCUUGGGCUAGAGUAGUACUGGGAUGGGUGACCUCCCGGGAAGUCCUAGUGUUGCAUCCU